AGAGUGAUACUAUUACAACCCCCUAUACCCAGCGGUUGCAGCGCUGCUCUUUUGCAGCUGCUGCAAUUUUGCAGGUUCAUCUAUACGUACAGCUUUUCUGUAUCUAUAUAUAUUUAUACACUUGGAUAUAUACUUAGUGUGAGACACUCGCAUAAAGUGUGAUUUGAUAUAUGUAGAAAGAAAAAAGCAUUUCACUUUUUAGAGAGAGAGACCAAAGAGAUAGAAAGAGAAAAGAGAGUCAUCUUCUUUAUGCAAUGCGGUGAGUGCGCAGUUGAACUAGCAAAAAGGGUUUAAUUAAAGACGAUGUUUGAUCUAAACACUGUGGAUAACGAUGACGUGGCGCCGGUGUCAUUGGAUUCACCGGCGGCGACGUCCUCGGCGGCUUCUGAUUUGACGUCGACAACUCCGGUGGCUUCGGCGUCGGCGUCGGUGUGUAUGGAGCUGUGGCAUGCGUGUGCUGGACCGUUGAUUUCGUUACCGAAGAAAGGAAGUGCUGUUGUGUACUUACCACAAGGUCACUUGGAACAUCUCUCUGAGUAUCCGUCCGUAGCAUAUAACCUCCCUGCUCACGUUUUCUGUCGCGUUGUUGAUGUCAAGUUACAGGCGGAUGCGGCGACUGAUGAGGUUUAUGCACAAGUCUCACUGGUUCCAGACAAUCAGCAGAUUGAGCAGAAAUGGAGGGAUGGAGACAUUGAUGCAGAUACUGAAGAGGAGGAAAUAGAAGGUGCUGGAAAAUCAAUAACACCACACAUGUUCUGCAAGACUCUCACUGCUUCGGAUACCAGCACUCAUGGUGGUUUUUCUGUCCCUCGCCGGGCGGCAGAAGAUUGCUUUCCUCCCUUGGAUUACAGACAACAGAGGCCCUCACAGGAGCUGGUAGCCAAAGAUCUGCAUGGUAUAGAGUGGAAAUUUCGGCAUAUCUAUCGGGGUCAGCCACGACGGCAUCUGCUCACUACUGGAUGGAGUGCAUUUGUAAACAAGAAGAAGCUUGUCUCUGGUGAUGCUGUGCUUUUCUUGAGGACUGGUGAUGGAGAGCUUAGGCUAGGAGUGAGACGAGCUGCCCAAGCCAAAACAUGUUCAAAUUAUCUGGCUCCCUAUAGCCAGCUGUUGAAUGUCACUGGUAUUGUAGAUGCGGCUAAUGCCAUAUCUAGCAGAAAUGCCUUCAACAUUUCUUAUAACCCAAGGGGUAGCACAUCUGACUUCAUUGUACCUUACCACAAAUUUUCAAAGACUCUUGCACAUCCCUUUUCAGCUGGAAUGAGGUUUAAGAUGCGUGUUGAAACAGAAGAGGCAGCUGAGCAAAGGUUCACCGGACUUGUUGUAGGAGUCAGCGAUGUAGAUCCAGUUCGAUGGCCUGGUUCGAAAUGGAGGUGCCUAUUGGUCAGAUGGGAUGAUCUUGAUGUUUCUAGACAUAAUAGGGUUUCUCCAUGGGAGAUUGAGCCAUCUGGUUCAGCUCCUGUAUCCAGCAGCUUGGUGAUGCCUUCUGCAAAGAGGACCAGGGUUGGCUUUCCAAUUUCAAAGGCAGAUUUUCCAAUUCCUAGAGAUGGAAUUGCAGUAUCAGACUUUGGGGAAUCUUCUAGGUUCCAGAAGGUCUUGCAAGGUCAAGAAAUUUUGGGGAUGCAUGCUCCUUAUGGUGGACUUGAUGCUCAGAGUCCUCGUCCAGGGGGGUUAAGAUGCUUUCCUGGUUUUCCUAGUUCUGGGACAUCUAGAAUGGGAAACAGCAUUAGACCCCUGCUUUGUGACAAUGACAAGUCCCAUGAAAGCAUUGGCUUUAGUGAAUCUCUUCGAUUUAAUAAGGUCUUGCAAGGUCAAGAAAUUUUUUCAAACCCUCCUUACGGGAAAGGUCCAGCUGGUAGCCAGAUGCAUGAGAAAAGUAGAAGUGGUAUUUUCGUCGGUAUUCAGGUUCCAAGCCAUGGAAACAGGUGGUCCGCUCCAAAUCAGGGUAAUCGCACUCACUACAAUCCAAGUACUCUUGUCCCAGCAUCAUCACCAGCUUCUGUACUCACUUUUCAGCAUCCAAGCGCUCCAGCUUCAAAGUUCCAGGGUAUGUUCAAUCAUAAACAUGGGAGGCUUGAGACUGGCACCCGGGCUUCUUUAGAUAUGUCUGAGAGCUGUAGUAGGCAGCUCGCAUCUGGCUCACAUACUGAGGACAUCAGUAGGAAGGAAGGUACUCAAGAAAUCAGUUCUUUUGGUUUCUUAAAGGAGCAAAAGCAAACAGGAAUUUCAUAUCUUUCUCUUGGGACACAGUCGUCAUUCAAUGGCAAUCAGAAUUUAGUAUCCAUGUGUAAAACCAGUUGCAGGAUCUUUGGAUUCCCCUUGACCGACAGUAAACUAACUGCAACUAGAGCGGAGAAUCCCGCUGAAGAUGUAUAUUCACAUGGUCUAGAAACGACAUUUCUCCCUUCCAAUGAUGGAAAGUUGCAGCCAGGGCCACCAUUGAUGACUAAUGUUGCGGGAACAAAUUUUACUAAAGUAAAUGACCUCUAUGCAGCAAGAGAUGUGCUUCUUGAUAUUGCUCUGUAGCAUGUGUUUGUUGUGAUGUCGUGCUAGCAUAUGUAGACUGAAGAAUGUGUGCGCAUCAUUAUUGAUUCUUAGAGUUUAGUUGGCCUGUAAUCUUUUGGCCACACGUAAGCAUUUAGUUACCAGUAGAAGGCUUAUCCAGAGAUGUGAAUUGAGAGUUUUUGUUGCAAGGAAAACAAUGAAGAUUGAUAUUGUUGAGGAAAGUAUGUGCUUGAACAUUUGGCGUGUAUGUUCCUGUGAUGUUGAUGUACUAUGAUGUAACAAUUGGAGGGUGUGUUGCUGCAUCAAGAUGUCUGUCUGUAUGAUAAUUGCACUCUGCUUGAAAUUACCUAGUGGUGUUUCUUUUAGGUUUGAGAUAACUUUUGUAUUUAUAUCUUUACCUUCUCUAGCUUUGCUGUGAACUAACACAAGCUCGUAUGAAGAUGGAAAGCUUGUUGUAGCAGUUCUUGUUUCAGAACACAAUAUUUUAAUUUUUAAGGAAUUGUGUAUAGUCCUGUAAUUCAACAGGCUGAAUAUGGUUUCCUAUUUGUUUAUUUGUU